rnacentral:rRNA from 1 species
UACAGAGGGUGCGAGCGUUAAUCGGAAUUACUGGGCGUAAAGGGCGCGUAGGUGGUUUUUUAAGUCAGAUGUGAAAUCCCCCAGCUUAACUGGGGUCGGUCAUCUGAGACUGGAAAACUAGAGUUGGUGAGAGGAAAGUAGAAUUUCCGGUGUAGCGGUGAAAUGCGUAGAUAUCGGAAAGAAUACCGAUGGCGAAGGCAGCUUUCUGGCACCAAACUGACACUGAGGCGCGAAAGCGUGGGGAGCAAACAGG